UCAUCACUUUACACAUAAAGACAGUGAAAAGCAAAGGGUAAAUUAGAAGAAUUGAGAAGCUUCAAAAAAUGCACAUCUUUGCUACUGCUUUGGAAAAGAUAUCACUCUCUUAAAAGGCACAUUAAAACUAAGGAAGUGACAAGACAUAAAGUGACCUGUCAUUGCUGGGAAUCUCCAUCUUCAGAGGUUUCUGAACUGAUCUGAAGUAUAACUAAUUGAAAUGUCUUUGAAAAUCGGAAGGAAGUGGAUAUGUGUUCAACAUUGGCUCCUGGUGAAUUAGGAGCAUAGGCUUUAAAUGCAUCCAGAGGAAAAUGUUAAC